rnacentral:rRNA from 1 species
CACGUAUGAGGCGAGCGUUGUUCGGAAUUAUUGGGCGUAAAGCGCGUGUAGGCGGGAGAUUAAGUUAGGUGUGAAAUCUACGAGCUUAACUCGUAAAUUGCACUUAAUACUGGUUUCCUUGAGUUCGGGAGAGGAGAGCGGAAUUCCCGGUGUAGCGGUGAAAUGCGUAGAUAUCGGGAAGAACACCAGUGGCGAAGGCGGCUCUCUGGCCUAGAACUGACGCUGAGAUGCGAAAGCGUGGGGAG